rnacentral:rRNA from 1 species
UACAGAGGGGGCCAGCGUUAUUCGGAAUUAUUGGGCGUAAAGGGCGCGUAGGCGGCCAUGCGUGUCUUCCGUGAAAUCCCUCGGCUUAACCGAGGACGUGCGGAAGAAACUGCAAGGCUCGAAUCCGGAAGAGGGGGGCGGAAUUCCCAGUGUAGCGGUGAAAUGCGUAGAUAUUGGGAGGAACACCAGUGGCGAAGGCGGUCCCCUGGGCCGGAACUGACGCUGAGGCGCGAAAGCGUGGGUAGCAAACGGG